AAGCACCUGAGGUCCUGCUGCAAUCCUGGGACUCCAAGUCAGGGAUCAUAUAGGGCCUCUGGAAGAGCGACUCCUUGACGCACACUGAUCCGCCUCUCACGGCGGCCGGUCCUCCAGAGGUCAUUGUCAUCACAGAUGACUUUCACUUGAUAACUCUGUCAUCAGCCUUGAGCCUUACAGGGAGCACAGUCCAGUUGUGUUUAAUGGUUGUUGUAUCACUGGGUAUGAAGAUCACAUGACAGACCAUAUAUUGCCAUACAAGGAUUGAGGCAAGAACUAUCAGCAGAGCAGAAGCCCAUCAUCAGUGCCCCAGCCAUACAGAGCUGUGUCAUAUGAAGAUCUUCAAAAAUGCUAUUAUGGUUAAUAUUAAUGAUAUAAAUGAAAAUUACGAAUAGUUAUAACCGUCCAUGCUGCCUCAGGAGAAGAAAUUAUGCUGAAUAUCAAAGAAAGCACCAUCUUCUGCUCCUCUCAACUAGCCUAUCAUCAUCAGUAGUAUUGAAGAACUGCCUGUUCAGAAUUCUCUACAUCAAAGACACUUCUGCAAUUUAAAAAAUACCCAAGAAUCAAUGCAGGACUCCACAUGCAGAAUUGCAAAGGAAAGCGGGGAGUGUGGCUCCUUCCAGCAUCUCUCACUUCACACAGCACCUCUUUAGCAAUGACUGGUGGUGUUUUAUUGGUGGGGAUACACAUUUCUUGUUUCCCAGCCAAACAUAUAUGCACAUCUUUAUGGACACCUGCAACAACUGUGAUUGUCUAAAUAACAACACAAAGGAUAAACAGAGACCCCAGGAAUGGCAGAUAAGGCUCAGUGAAUACAAACGAGCUGACACAUUUUAUAUUUGUUUCCUGGGCUGGGUUCCUGUUCAGUUUGAACCCACAGGCAAUGUUAUGAUGGAAAAUUCCACAACUGGCACACAACUUACAUUCCAAUUUGUAUCCAAGAAUCAAUUUCAGCAAAUGAAACUGGAAUUAAAACACAGAAUCUGAG
rnacentral:lncRNA from 1 species